AUGAACGCUAGCGGCAGGCUUAACACAUGGCAAGUCGAGGGGCAGCAUGAGACUGAGAUUCGUCGAAGUCUUGAUGGCGACCGGCGCAAGGGUGCGUAACGCGUGAGCAACUUGACCCGUUUCAGGGGGGAUAACCGGUGGAAACGCCGACUAAUACCCCCAUGGUGAUGGUUUGAGGCAUCUCUUUCCAUCUAAAGAAUUUCGGAAACGGAUAGGCUCGCGUGACAUUAGCUAGAUGGCGGGGGUAACGGCCCACCAUGGCGACGAUGUCUAGGGGUUCUGAGAGGAAGGUCCCCCACACUGGAACUGAGACACGGUCCAGACUCCUACGGGAGGCAGCAGUGAGGAAUAUUGGUCAAUGGCCGAGAGGCUGAACCAGCCAAGUAGCGUGAAGGAUGAAGGUUCUAUGGAUUGUAAACUUCUUUUAUACGGGAAUAACACCAUCUACGUGUAGAUGUCUGCAUGUACCGUAUGAAUAAGCAUCGGCUAACUCCGUG
rnacentral:rRNA from 1 species